rnacentral:rRNA from 1 species
GUACACGCUGUGACUAGCAUAUCAAUAAGCGGAGGAAAAGAAACUAACAAGGAUUCCCCUAGUAACGGCGAGUGAAGCGGGAAGAGCUCAAAUUUGAAAUCUUAAAGGGUUUCCCUUUACGAAUUGUAGUUUAAAGAAGUGUUUUCUGUUGAGGUUUUGGUAAAAGUUCUUUGGAAUAGGACAUCAUAGAGGGUGAGAAUCCCGUAUUUGACCUUUACUUUCAACUUUGUGAUACACUUUCAAAGAGUCGGAUUGUUUGGGAAUGCAGUCCAAAAUGGGUGGUAAAUUUCAUCUAAAGCUAAAUAUUGGCGAGAGACCGAUAGCGAACAAGUACCGUGAGGGAAAGAUGAAAAGAACUUUGAAAAGAGAGUUAAACAGUACGUGAAAUCGUCAAAAGGGAAGCGUUUGACACCAGUGUUGUUUUUCUGAAAAUCAAUUAAAGAACUGUUUAUGCUAAGUUGUUUAGACUUUAUCAGCUAACUGUUUAGUUUUGAGCUUUUCUUUAAUGCACUUUUCAGUUAACAAGUCAGCAUCAAUUUCUUUUGCUGUAAAAAAGCUUGAGGAAGGUGGCUUGAGAUUCGUCUUAAGUGUUUAUAGCCUCUUGCCUAUGCAGUCGGAGAGAUUGAGGUCUGCAGCGUAGAUCCUUCGGGGCUAAAUGCAUUUGUGCUAAGUUAUAGCAUUUUAUAGACAACUUGUUGACUAUGAUUUGUCUUGUAGCUUACUCGCUUAUGUUAUUUUACCUACGCUUAGGAUGUUGACGCGCGUGUGUGCGUG